CCUANGUGUGGCAGCAGUGGGGAAUUUUGCGCAAUGGGCGAAAGCCUGACGCAGCGACGCCGCGUGGAGGAUGAAGGUCUUUGGAUCGUAAACUUCUGUUAAGUGGGAAGAAAAGUCUGCUAGUAAUAUGAGCAGAAAAUGACGGUACCAUUAGAGAAAGCACCGGCUAACUUCGUGCCAGCAGCCGCGGUAAUACGAAGGGUGCAAGCGUUAUUCGGAAUCAUUGGGCGUAAAGGGUGCGUAGACGGCUUGUUAAGUCAGUUGUUAAAUUUUCCGGCCUAACUGGAAAUCCGCGAUUGAAACUGGCGAGCUAGAGGGUGGAAGAGAGAAGUGGAAUUCUCGGAGUAGCGGUAAAAUGCGUAGAUCUCGAGAGGAACACCGAUGGCGAAGGCAGCUUCUUGGUCCAUUUCUGACGUUGAGGCACGAAAGCGUGGGGAGCAAACAGGAUUAGAUACCCCUNUANUC
rnacentral:rRNA from 1 species